rfam:Cajanus cajan CcLG02_2362, whole genome shotgun sequence.
AUAUUUGUACUUGGAGUAAUGACACAGCAAAUGAGGUUCUAACCAAGGUGUGUUUGUUGCUGGUUGAAAACUAUUUUCUCUGUUGCUGGUUGAAAACUAUUUCCAAACUCCCUCUUAGGUCUGGGUUCAGCUCAGGCCUUUGAGAUUUUCUGGAAAGGUCUCCUUUGGUGUAAAGUCC